UUAAAUUGAAGAGUUUGAUCAUGGCUCAGAUUGAACGCUGGCGGCAGGCCUAACACAUGCAAGUCGAACGGUAACAGGAAGCAGCUUGCUGCUUUGCUGACGAGUGGCGGAC
rnacentral:rRNA from 56 species